rnacentral:rRNA from 1 species
UACGUAGGUGGCAAGCGUUGUCCGGAUUUACUGGGCGUAAAGGGAGCGUAGGUGGAUAUUUAAGUGGGAUGUGAAAUACUCGGGCUUAACCUGAGUGCUGCAUUCCAAACUGGAUAUCUAGAGUGCAGGAGAGGAAAGUAGAAUUCCUAGUGUAGCGGUGAAAUGCGUAGAGAUUAGGAAGAAUACCAGUGGCGAAGGCGACUUUCUGGACUGUAACUGACACUGAGGCGUCGAAGGCCAGGGGAGCAAACGGG